rnacentral:rRNA from 1 species
UACGGGGGGGGCAAGCGUUGUUCGGAAUUACUGGGCGUAAAGGGCUCGUAGGCGGCCAACUAAGUCAGACGUGAAAUCCCUGGGCUCAACCCAGGAACUGCGUCCGAUACUGGUUGGCUUGAAUCCGGGAGAGGGACGUGGAAUUCCAGGUGUAGCGGUGAAAUGCGUAGAUAUCUGGAGGAACACCGGUGGCGAAGGCGACGUCCUGGACCGGCAUUGACGCUGAGGCGCGAAAGCCAGGGGAGCAAACGGG